GCGGAAGUGGUGGAACUGGCAGACACGCAUGGUUCAGGGCCAUGUGGGCAGUUGCCCUUGAGAGUUCAAAUCUCUCCUUCCGCACCA
rnacentral:tRNA from 1 species